rnacentral:misc_RNA from 1 species
CUUGCUGCCAUUUCGGUUGGAACUGCAAGUCGAGGGGGUUUAGGCAAGCUUGUGAUCCGUGGAAAUAAUCAUGUCAGCAAGAUUACAGACCUUGGACUCAAGGCAAUUGCUCGUGGGUGCCCAUCUCUAAGGGCUCUUUCUUUGUGGAAUCUGUCUUCCAUUGGAGAUGAAGGUCUUUGUGAGAUUGCCAAGGGGUCUCAACAGUUGGAGAAGCUUGAUCUCUGUCGAUGUCCUGCUGUAUCUGACAAGGCUGUGGUUGAGAUAGCAAGGAGCUGCCCAAAGUUGACUGAUAUUACAAUAGAAUCUUGUGCGAAAAUUGGAAAUGAAAGUCUGCGAGCUAUUGGCCAGUUCUGCCCCCAGCUGAAGUCUAUUGCGAUUAAAGAUUGCCCACGUGUUGGAGAUCAAGGAAUUGCAAGUUUGUUGUCUUUGAACACUUGUGCCUUGAAUAAGGUGAAGCUUCAAGCUUUGAAUGUUUCCGAUGUGUCCCUUGCUGUUAUUGGGCACUAUGGCAAG